ACUUUCGGGGAUGGAGGGGAAGCCCAGGUACUCUCUGUGCUUCCUAACUGGCCGUGGAAGGGGAGGUGGAGACGGGAAGCGGCAGUCGGUUUCACUGCAGCGUCUGGGAUUCCUGCCCCGAGUUCUUCCUCAGAAACCGGCGGCGGCUGCGGACAGGGGCGGCUGGGCUGAGGGGCGGGAAGCCGCUGGCCAGCUUCACCCUCUCUCUGGGGCUCCUGCAGGGCAAGGGGAGCGGAUGUGAAGUUGUCCCUGUAGAUAUAAUUAACAGCAUUGUGGACAAGACCACAAGUUCAGAAGGAGCUUACAAAGGAGAAAUUCAUGCUGCAAAUGGUGACACUUAAGCCAAAAGCAAUAAAAUGCAUUCAUCUGGGACACUGUCGCCCUGGGGUUUAUGGCUUCCACAGGACAAUCCAAGUCUGGGCUUCAGACCUCGUCAUUCUGCCACACUGUGACCCCGAGGCAGGGCGCGCCAUAAACAGACCGGGAGGCUGCUCUGUGUGCCCUCGCUGCGGGCUGGCUGCUCUGGGAAGAACACGCAGCCCUCAACAGGGAAAUGCGAUAACUAUUCUGCUUCUUGGAAUGAUUUGCAGAUUCAUGCAUUCAAACAUUCUUCAGAUGCUGACUGGUGGUAUAUGUCACCACGUUCCCGGUGGGAUGCGACCUGGUGGUGGAAAACAGACAGCUCACUUAAACGCCAGUUCGGCCACUUACUAACCGUGUGACCUUGGGAAACUUACUUAACUUCUCUGAGCCGAAGUUUACUCACAGAAGCUGGACCCUUUGUCACGGAGCUGAACACACACACCUGGCCCAGGAGCUGGUGUCGCUGAAGGAGGAUCCAGGAGAAGGUGGGACAGCUGCAGGCCUGGCCCCGGCCCCAAGCCAACAAGCAGAAAGAGAGACCACAGCUUCCACCACCGGCAACCUCCCACUCCGCCCAGCCCAGCCCAUUGACUCCUCCAAAUGAGAAGAACCAGACCCAUGUGUUCGGAUCUGCCACUGCGAGUCGUCAGCAGAGGCUCAGCUGUCACCUUCUCAAUGGGCUCCAUGCAAACCCCCCGCCCCAGCCUGUGCAGUUUAUUCCCGUUUCAGAACGCGAGAGCCAGACUGUUAUACAGGGGAGGGAAAUGACACCGCCAAGAAGAAGGAGCGCUUCCUAAAUCCUACAUCCACCCUAAGGAAUAAACCUAAAGACUGUGCUUGCAUCAACGUGGCCAGAUGCUAAUUUUCUGUGCUUAAAAUUCCUUAAAAGUUCAACCGUCCAUAUUUGGCAGAUCAAAGUGGGUUUUACUGGUCAUCUCAGAAGGGUAUUCCUUCCAAAAGAGCCACAAAAUCAAACGAGGACAGAAAAGUACAAUUUAUCACGUUGUCAGGGUUCAGCAAGGUCCCGGUCCACGUGCUAAAAGCCCUGAAGCCGAGAGGAGCCAUCAAUUCAACGUUCAACGACAAGCGUCAGUAUGACAAUAUCAACGAAUUCGCAGAAUAUCGUUCAUACUUUAAACAGUUGUUGGCCAGUGUCGGCCGGGAAGCUGAAACUUCUCGCAAGGCUGGUGUAUUAACACAUUUUGAAGCCACGGUCAGCAAAAGACUCAUUUUAGCGUUUGUGUCAAAAGCCUCGUGGGCAGCAGAGUUCUGCGAUGGGUCCCCCAAGACUCCCAGCUACUGCUGUGCAUACGCC
ensembl:lncRNA